rnacentral:rRNA from 1 species
GCUGGCGGCGUGCUUAACACAUGCAAGUCGAACGGUGACCCAGGGCUUGCCCUGGUGAUCAGUGGCGAACGGGUGAGUAACACGUGGGCAACCUGCCCCUGACUUCGGGAUAACUCCUCGAAAGAGGAGCUAAUACCGGAUACGACCACUUCGGACAUCCGAUGGUGGUGGAAAGUUUUUCGGUCAGGGAUGGGCCCGCGGCCUAUCAGCUAGUUGUGGGGUAAUGGCCUACCAAGGCGACGACGGGUAGCCGGCCUGAGAGGGCGACCGGCCACACUGGGACUGAGACACGGCCCAGACUCCUACGGGAGGCAGCAGUGGGGAAUAUUGCGCAAUGGCGAAAGCCUGACGCAGCGACGCCGCGUGAGGGGAUGAAGGCCUUCGGGUUGUAAACCUCUUUCAGCAGGGACGAAGCGAAAGUGACGGUACCUGCAGAAGAAGCACCGGCUAACUACGUG